AUGAAAGCUUUGAAAAGAAGAGUACAUUUCACAGACGUUUGAAGAGAGCCCUGUUCGCUGAAAAUGGGUAACGAACAUGAGAUGGAAGAUGGUCUUAGAGCAGAGUGAGUGAGCACAAGCGAACUUACUACGGGAGUGCCCGUUAUAGCACGACAGUAUACGAGUGAUUAUUCAAGUACUGUAAAGAGGUUAUUGCUGUAAAGCAUUAACGAAUCAAGGUGGUAACACGGAAGUUUAUGCUUUCGUCCUUUUG
rnacentral:ncRNA from 1 species